rnacentral:misc_RNA from 1 species
UUCAGCCCUUGGAUGACUUCAGUAGGAAACUCAUGGAAACAAUGACUAGCGUAGACUUGUAGCAUUGAAGGAUGUCCAUUAAUCAAGAAAGCUAAGGCAGAUGAGCUUAGUCUGUCACACCUUGAUACAUCCAGUGCCUGAAGCGAAGGACACCCUUUUCCAAGAUGAUGUAGUCCUUCAUCGUCCACAAUACUGCACCCGACCAUAGUCAAAAGCUUCAACUUCUCCAUACUGCUUAUAGAAUGCAGUGACACACUAGUAACCUUUAAAUAUGAAAUGUCAAGCUGCAUCAGUUGUGUACAUUUCUUGGACAAAAAAUCAAUCCCAAGAUCAGUAAUUUCAAUACACCAUUUUAAGCUAAGUUUCUCCAGGCAUUGACACCCAAUUGCUAUUUUCGCCAAACCAACAUCAGUAAGACCCAAGCACCUGUCCAGCUUUACAUCCCUUAAAGACCCACCACAAGACAAAGCCGCAGCUUCCCUAUCACCAAAACCCCAGCAGUAAGACACGUCAAUAGACUCCAAAACAGGACAAGACUUCAUAAACAUCUCUAACCCGGCUGAUUUCAACCCAGUGGUUCGACUCAGCACCAGUCUCGUCAACCUCCUACUCCAAUCCGGCAAUCCAUAACCGAGCAGCAUGGAAACAGCUCCGUCAUCAAUUUGGGGGCAAACGGAGAGGUCAAGGGAG